GAUGAACGCUGACAGAAUGCUUAACACAUGCAAGUCAACUUGAACUUUGGUUUGGGUGGCGGACGGGUGAGUAACGCGUAAAGAACUUGCCUCACAGCUAGGGACAACAUUUGGAAACGAAUGCUAAUACCUGAUAUUAUAAUUAUAUGGCAUCGUAUAAUUAUGAAAGCUAAAUGCACUGUGAGAGAGCUUUGCGUCCCAUUAGCUAGUUGGAGAGGUAACGGCUCACCAAGGCGAUGAUGGGUAGCCGGCCUGAGAGGGUGAACGGCCACAAGGGGACUGAGACACGGCCCUUACUCCUACGGGAGGCAGCAGUGGGGAAUAUUGGACAAUGGACCGAGAGUCUGAUCCAGCAAUUCUGUGUGCACGAUGAAGUUUUUCGGAAUGUAAAGUGCUUUCAGUUGGGAAGAAAAAAAUGACGGUACCAACAGAAGAAGUGACGGCUAAAUACGUGCCAGCAGCCGCGGUAAUACGUAUGUCACGAGCGUUAUCCGGAUUUAUUGGGCGUAAAGCGCGUCUAGGUGGUUAUGUAAGUCUGAUGUGAAAAUGCAGGGCUCAACUCUGUAUUGCGUUGGAAACUGUAUAACUAGAGUACUGGAGAGGUAAGCGGAACUACAAGUGUAGAGGUGAAAUUCGUAGAUAUUUGUAGGAAUGCCGAUGGGGAAGCCAGCUUACUGGACAGAUACUGACGCUGAAGCGCGAAAGCGUGGGUAGCAAACAGG
rnacentral:rRNA from 1 species